AUACUGAGGGUGCAAGCGUUAAUCGGAAUUACUGGGCGUAAAGCGCGCGUAGGCGGUUUAUUAAGUCAGAUGUGAAAGCCCUGGGCUUAACCUGGGAACUGCAUUUGAGACUGGUAGGCUAGAGUAUGGUAGAGGAUAGUGGAAUUCCGGGCGUAGCGGUGAAAUGCGUAGAUAUCCGGAGGAACAUCAGUGGCGAAGGCGGCUAUCUGGACCAAUACUGACGCUGAGGUGCGAAAGCGUGGGGAGCAAACAGGAUUAGAAACCCUAGUAGUCC
rnacentral:rRNA from 1 species